rnacentral:tRNA from 1 species
AGAUGGCUCAGUGGUUAAGAGCACUGACUGUUCUUCCAGAGGUCCAGAGUUCAAUUCGCAGCAACUA